UCAGGUCGGACGUUUGGGUCAACCCCAAAAUGAAGUCAUUUUAGGCCUUUUGAGACCAAGCCAAAAUGGCGUUGUCUCACAGGCCCUAUUUAACUAAAAAAGAAUCUAAAAAAUCAUUUUAACAUCUUAAAAAAUUCUUUUCCUUUUUCUUUUCUCUCAAACCCCCUUCUCCUCCGGCCACAAGGUCGGCGCACAUCUGCUACGGCCAUUGGUCAUCAGCGUUGGUGACUACCGCCUCCGGCGGCUGAAAAAUUCCUAAAAAAUCCCUUUUGUGCCCCAUUUUCACGUGGAUUCCAGAUCUGGGAUUUAAAUCCCCAAAAACCCAGUUGAUGUUCAACUAUCAGUCAAGAAACCCUUCGCCUCUCCUUUUGCAACAAGAGCCUCGACGGAACCCUAGGGGUUCCGAGGCUUCUCAAGUUAGCGGAAAGGGGAGUUCCACAACAACACUUUAAUAGGUAAAUCCAAAAAACUUGAAUAUUUUGUUGUGAUUUUUUUUUAUUUUUUUCAUAUUUUACGAAAUUAAAAAAAAAAGAACUACCUUUGUUAUUUUUUUAUUUUAUUUCGAUUUCCCCUCUCUCCGUCGAGGUCGUCGACGAACCCCAAUGGGUUCAGAGACCCUUUGAACAGGCAAAGAGCCAUUGACAAUAGUGGUGGAAGAUGAAGUGACGAGGUGAUGGUGGCAAAGACGAGGCGGCAGUGUCAGGCCUCAGAUGGCACCCUGCUGACAUGGUAAGGGGAGCUGCGGCUGGAGACUUUUAGGGGGAGCUAGGGUUUCUGAAAUUUUUUUAAGUUUGGGCUUGGGGGCUUAGGUAAUUUGUGCUUUAGAGUUUUGUAUUUGGGCUUUUUAUUAAAUGACUUUUAUUUAUUUAUUUUUUUGUUUUUGUUUUGGUUUGGGUUUGGGCCGGAUGAAUUUUUCCUACUACAGCAUCCUUUUCAAUUUUUAAAUUUUUAUUGAAAUUUUUAUUUUGUUCAAAAUGAUAGUUAUUAAAUUCAUUUGAUUAAAUUCUCAUA